UACAGAGGUCCCGAGCGUUGUUCGGAUUUACUGGGCGUAAAGGGUGCGUAGGCGGCGGGAUAAGUCUGAUGUGAAAGCUCGGAGCCCAACUCCGAAAUGGCAUUGGAUACUAUUCUGCUCGAGGUUGGGAGGGGAGACUGGAAUUCUCGGUGUAGCAGUGAAAUGCGUAGAUAUCGAGAGGAACACCAGUGGCGAAGGCGAGUCUCUGGACCAAUCCUGACGCUGAGGCACGAAAGCCAGGGGAGCAAACGGG
rnacentral:rRNA from 1 species